AAAUGAUGCCACUUUUCAACAAGCAGCGAUCCAGUAAGGGGAUUAGAGGCAUGAAUUUUAACUGACAAAAAAAUGAAUUUGAAGGUGAUGACAGGGGAGUUUAAGGAGCACACAAAAGAUUAGCAUUAUCUCCUCAGCAGAAUGUGACAAAACAUUACUGGGUUAUGUGAAACAUUUCCAAGAUGAAUUGAAGACCAAGCUGAACACACAUGAGAAGACUCUGAAAGUUGGAGAGAAGAAGGAAGACCAGCUAGGCACUCCAGUAUCAAGGAACGGUGUAACACAGUUUCUCGGUUUUCUUUUUGCCUCAAAUAUUCCUGACUUGGGAGUGAAAAAGCCCC
rnacentral:lncRNA from 1 species